rnacentral:tRNA from 1 species
GCAUUGGUGGUUCAAUGGUAGAAUUCUUACCUUCCAUGCUGGAGACUGGGGUUUGAUUCCUGGCCAAUGCA